GUGCUCGCUUCGGCAGCACAUAUACUAAAAUUGGAACGAUACAGAGAAGAUUAGCAUGGCCCCUGCUCAAGGAUGAAAAAUAAAUAAAUUAAAAGUAAAAAAAAGAA
ensembl:snRNA U6 U6 spliceosomal RNA